AUGCAGAUAAAGGAAUCAUUACCCAACCUCAACCAAGCCCCUAAGAUAACAGAGGAAACACUAGGAAAAACAGUGUUCAACAGAACUGAUCAAGACAACAGACCUGCUCCAUCAAUCGAAGAUGCAAUGUUUAUGGAAAAGAUGGAUACUGAAGUCUACCGAAACAGUAAGGAUACCUGGGUAGCACCACUUCCGUUUAAGGAGCCACGACCGCACCUUCCUAACAAUAAAGAGCAGGCUGUUAAGAGAUUCAUGUCACUGCAGAAAAUGCUCAAAGGGAACCCCGUAAUGCAGAAACAGUACUUUGCAUUCAUGGACAAAAUCUUUCAAAAUGGACACGCUGAAGUAGCACCACCACUAAGGGACAAUGAGGAAUGCUGGUUCCUUCCUACAUUUGGAGUAUAUCAUCCUCGGAAGCCCGACCAGAUUAGGGUGGUGUUCGAUUCAAGCUCACAAUACCAAGGAAUCUCCCUAAAUGAUGUAUUACUGACUGGCCCAGAUUUAAACAACACGUUGAUCGGUGUUCCGCUCCACUUUCGCAAGGAGAAAGUAGCCGUGUUAGCAGACAUUCAGCAAAUGUUCUACUGUUUUGAGGUAAGCGAGAACCAUCAAAACUUUCUUAGAUUCCUAUGGUACGAAGAAAAUAUCAACAAAAACAUCAUUGACUAUCGAAUGAAAGUUCAUGUUUUCGGCAAUAGUCCUUUGCCUGCCGUCGCCAUCUACGGGCUGAGAAGAGCCAUUAGCGAAGGUGCACCACAUUAUGGCGAUGAUACUGUUCAGUUUGUGGAAAGACAUUUCUAUGUCGAUGAUGGUCUCAUAUCUGUACCAACUGAUCACGAAGCAAUUGACCUGCUUAAAAGGACACAGGCCUCUCUAGCGGAAUCAAACCUUCGCCUUCACAAGUUCACCACAAACAGUCAGAGCGUCUUAAAGGCCUUAUCCCCAGAAGACUGUGCAACAACUGUCAAGGACUUAGACCUCAGCGGAGAGACACAAUCCAUCCAGCGCAGUUUGGGCCUCCUGUGGGAGAUAUCAACAGACACCUUUACCUUUUCUGUAUCAACAGAUACAAAGCCCUUCACUCGUCGUGGUGUGUUAUCCACUGUACACAGCAUUUUUGACCCUCUAGGUCUGCUGGCCCCUGUCACUGUCUGUGGGAGAGCCCUUCUUAGAGAGCUCACUGCUGACCUCCCCGAUUGGGACACUCCUCUCCCAGAAGAAAAACGUGAUAAGUGGGACUCAUGGCGCGAAUCGCUUCACGAUCUCAAGCAGAUGCACAUACCACGAACCUAUACGGACAUGUCACUUUGCAACAGUGAGCACAUUGAGCUUAGUGUGUUCUCAGACGCCUCGACAAAGGCAAUUGGAACCGUUGCAUAUCUCAAGACCGUUCAAAAAGAUGGUCACACUGAGAUCGGAUUUCUCUAG
rnacentral:lncRNA from 1 species